AGUUGUGGUAUUUACAUAUGUGUGUGUGUGACUGCUGCACACACUUUAAGAGCUGUAGUGCUGAUCAGAGUGUGUUCAGUCCUUUCAGAGCCACUGACACGCAGCACAAUGAUGAUGGUACUGAUUCUACUGCUGGGGACACUGGGACUCCUCGCUCACCAGUCCUUUGGGGAAAUCGUCCUGACUCAGUCUCCAGGAUCUCAGACUGUUUCUCCAGGAGACACUGUUACUCUCAGCUGUACAACCAGUCAGAGUGUUUACAGUAACCUCGCCUGGUACCUGCAGAAACCUGAAGAAGCUCCUAAACUCCUGAUCUAUGCUGCAACUUCUCGUCAGUCUGGGAUUCCAGAUCGUUUCAGUGGCAGUGGAUCUGGUACACAGUUUAGUCUAAAAAUCUCUGGAGUUCAGUCUGAAGAUGCAGGAGAUUAUUACUGUCAGCAGGGUUACAGCGGGUGGACUUUCGGUGGAGGAACCAAACUGAUCAUCACCGGUCCCACGGUGAAGCCCUCCGUGUCUCUGCUCCUCCUCCUCUCUGCAGCCGUCUGACAGAUCGGCCUCGCUGCUCUGCCUGCUGUCUGCCUACUCUCCACAGGGGGCGCUGGUGAGCUGGACAGUGGACGGCUCAGAGGUGAAGGACGGGGUUCUGACCAGCCCAGAAGAACACAAGAAGGACGGUUACACACGCAGCAGCACCCUGACCCUCAGCAAAGAACUGUGGGAAAAGGGGGAGGAGUUUGUCUGUACCGUCUCCCAUGGUGGUGUCCAUCAUCCGCUCACGUUCAGAAAGAGCCAGUGUUAAGACCAACAGCUCCAAGAUAGAACUGAACACUGAGCUGCUCACACAUCCAUCUACAAUCGAGUUUCAAUUCUACACAAUGCUGACAUUUCUGUCUUUCCUCUCUUCACUGUCCUGUUGCUCUUCCUGUAGUUUUGCUCUGCUGAAAUAAAGCUUCAUUUUGGA